UGGGGGAUAUUGCACAAUGGGCGAAAGCCUGAUGCAGCGACGCCGCGUGGGGGAUGAAGGCUUUCGGGUUGUAAACCUCUUUCGCUAUCGAACAAGGCCCGCUUAGGGUGGGUUGAGGGUAGGUGGAGAAGAAGCGCCGGCUAACUACGUGCCAGCAGCCGCGGUAAUACGUAGGGCGCGAGCGUUGUCCGGAAUUAUUGGGCGUAAAGGGCUUGUAGGCGGGUUGUUGCGCCUGCUGUGAAAACGCGGGGCUUAACUUCGCGCGUGAAGUGGGUACGGGCAGGCUUGAGUGUGGUAGGGGUGACUGGAAUUCCAGGUGUAGCGGUGGAAUGCGCAGAUAUCUGGAGGAACACCGAUGGCGAAGGCAGGUCACUGGGCCAUUACUGACGCUGAGGAGCGAAAGCAUGGGUAGCGAACAGG
rnacentral:rRNA from 1 species